UAAUUACUCCCUCCGGCCGGAAUUACUUGUCGAAAUAUUACAUGUAUCUAGACGCUUUUUAAACAUAGAUACAUACAUAUUUGGACAAAUUUGAGACAAGUAAUAUGGAUCGGAGGGAGUAUUAU
rfam:Brachypodium distachyon strain Bd21 chromosome 2, whole genome shotgun sequence.